AACGACUCUCGACAACGGAUAUCUCGGCUCUCGCAUCGAUGAAGAACGUAGCGAAAUGCGAUACUUGGUGUGAAUUGCAGAAUCCCGUGAACCAUCGAGUCUUUGAACGCAAGUUGCGCCCGAAGCCACUAGGUUGAGGGCACGUCUGCCUGGGUGUCACGC
rnacentral:rRNA from 4 species